GAGAGAAACACUUGCAAGGCAUGGCAAAUCUGAUUCUAGAAAAUUGCAUUUAUAAGCAAAAGAAGUUGUAGGAACCAGCAGCGAAGCGUACAAGAUGACCCCAGACAUGAGAUAGAACAGUUCCAUUUUUGAAGUACAUUUAAAAGAAAAGUUUGCCACCAGCAACUGGAGAGCUUAUUGUUUUCAAAAGAUUAACAAACUUAUUUUCCUACAACUUGAAGAUUGAAAAUCCGAAUUGUAAAUUCUGCGGAUGCUGCAAGGAACAUGGAGUGAUCAAUCUUCAUGAUCCGUUCCGUGGCGAGCUGGGAAAAAAAAAUGCAGUUGCUAAUCAAUGUCCGAACAGUCUGAAGCUCCGGAAGAGAUCCAAGGAGUCACUAUCAAACUAUCCUGUAGCAUGAGAUCAUUGCACACAGAAGAACAGUCAUAAAAUAGGCAACUAUCUACAAAGGUCUGAAAGGGCUGCAUCCCUCUUGUGUUUCCUCUUUUUGCCAUGGAAAUACUGAUGGUGUGAUUUGCUGCCUUGAUGUUGUUUGUUUGUGACUGAGGUACCGUGGCUUGAGUUUGCUGGACCUUGGAAGCCUUUGUUAGAAGAGCGAAAUAACCGUGCAGAUCCAUGCUGUAAAAAGAAAGAGAGCCCAGUAAGUCCAUGGUAAGAAAGUGUGGCAAUUGCACAAACCUAUUUCAGGAUAACAAGGACAUCAACUCAUGAAAAUGAAUCCACAAGGGACCUGACAAGGCAGAAGCUGAGCCGCUGUUUGGGCAGCAGCAUGGAACCACAGAUCUUUCAUUUUGUCAGCUGCACACAAAUCUCAUCUCUAGAUCCAAAUCAUGCAUGUCGAGAGAGUGAAGAAUACAGCGCUCUGAAUUUUGAAAAUGAUAGAACUGGUCUAUCUCACCCACUGUGCAACCACCAAAAGUGCGUUCUACAGAAACACAAUUCCAUAAUCUAAGAAGAGAGAAGAUUGCUCAAAUCUCAUAAUCUGUGCAAAUAAAGGCAACCUUCCUUUAAGACCAAGACUAAUUUUAUAUCACAUCUUUCUGCAGAUGUACA
rnacentral:lncRNA from 1 species